AUUGCUUCUCGGCCUUUUGGCUAAGAUUAAGUGUAGUAUCUGUUCUUAUCAGUUUAAUAUCUGAUACGUCUUCUAUCCGAGGACAAUAUAUUAAAUGGAUUUUUGGAGCUGGGAGAUGGAAUAGGAGCUUGCUCUGCCCACUCCACGCAUUGACCUGGUAUUGCAGUACCUCCAGGAAUGGUGCACCCCCU
ensembl:snRNA U2 U2 spliceosomal RNA